rnacentral:rRNA from 1 species
UAAGACGAACCGUCCAAACGUUAUUCGGUAUCACUGGGCUUAAAGGGUGCGUAGGCGGCUUGAUAAGUAAGGUGUGAAAGACCUCGGCUCAACCGAGGAAUUGCGCUUUAAACUGUCAGGCUUGAGGAAGGUAGAGGUAAGCGGAACUUGCGGUGGAGCGGUGAAAUGCAUUGAUAUCGCAGGGAACACCAGUGGCGAAGGCGGCUUACUGGGCCUUUUCUGACGCUGAGGCACGAAAGCUAGGGUAGCGAACGGGAUUAGAUACCCCGGUAGUCCUAGCCGUAAACGAUGAGAACUGGGUCGAGGGAUUUCCAUAGUCUCUUGGCCGAAGCGAAAGUGUUAAGUUCUCCGCCUGGGGAGUAUGGUCGCAAGGCUG